rnacentral:pre_miRNA from 1 species
UGGACAGAUUAUUGUAUUCGACUGUAUUCACGGCGUGAAACAGGUUACACUAUUUUUAAACGGAAAGUGAAUCAAUUAACAUAAUAGACUCCU